rnacentral:rRNA from 1 species
GAUGAACGCUGGCGGCGUGCUUAACACAUGCAAGUCGAACGGAAAGGCGCUGCUCUUGUGGCGUGCUCGUGAGGCGCACGGGUGAGUCUCACGUGAGUAACCUGCCCUUGACUUUGGGCUAACUCCAGGAAACCGGGGCUAAUACCGCGUAGGAGCUCAUGCUGCAUGGGGGGGGUUCGCAACUUUCGGCUGUGUGGGAUGGGCUGGACGCUUCUCAGCGUGUGGGUGGGGUAGUGGCAUACCAGGGCUUCGACGGCUAGGCGGCGUUAGAGGGUGACCGGCCACCUCGGUACUACGGUACGGCGCAGACGCCUACUGGAGGCAGCAGUGGGGAAUAUUGCACAAUGAGGGGAAGCCUGAUGCAGCAGCGCUGCGUGCGGGAUGUCGGCCUUCGGGGGGUAAACCGCUUUCGCCGGUGACGAAGCGUGAGUGACGGUAACUGGUAAAGAAGCACCGGCUAACUACGUG